GUGCUCACAUUGGCAACACAUAUUCUAAAACUGGAACAAUAAGAGAAGAUUAGCAUGUCCCCUGCGCAGGGAUGACACGCAAAUUUGUGAAGUGUUCCAUAUUUAA